rnacentral:snoRNA from 1 species
GAAGAAGCAAAAUGAUGAGUAAUACUUACAUGAGCCAAAGUGAGCGAGCUCUGUGUGUGUGUGUAUGUGCAUGUGCAUUUGUGUGAUGGUUGAUUGUGAGAAUUGUGUGCCUUAUAAUUGGGCCGUGAUAGCUAAACUGAUAAGAUCUGAUUGCUUC